rnacentral:hammerhead_ribozyme from 1 species
AUCCGACUGAUGAGUCCCACAUAGGACGAAACGUGCGUCCUGGAU